UUCUGACAUAUUCCAAUGUGCUACCCUGAAUGUGCUAAACUUCAUUAGAUUUCAGAAGCUAAGCAGUGUCAAAUGUGGUUAGUACUUGUCUGGGAGACCACCAAGAAUACCAGGGAUCUCUGGGU
rnacentral:rRNA from 1 species